AGCUUUGCACAGUGGCCUUGUGGUAGCCAAUGAGGUUUAUCUGAGGCGUGAUUGUUGCUAAUUGAAAUA
rnacentral:snRNA from 1 species